rnacentral:tRNA from 1 species
GCAUUGGUAGUUUAGUGAUAGAAUUCUUGCCUUUCAUACAAGAGACCUGGGUUCAAUUCCUGGCCAAUGCA